UGCCUGCCCGGUGAUUUAAAAUUAAACGGCUGCGGUACUCUGACCGUGCAAAGGUAGCAUAAUCAUUAGCCUGUUAAUUUCAGGCUGGAAUCAAUGGCAAGACGAAGGAAAGGCUGUCUCUUUCUAUUAUUUUAGAAUUUUUCUUUUUGGUGAAGAGACCGAAAUAAGUAAGUGGGACGAGAAGACCCUAUUGAGUUUUAGUUAAUUUAUAGGAAAAGAUUUUUUUUAUUAAUUAACUUUGGUUGGGGCAACUGUUUAUAAAAUUAAACAUUAAUAAAAUAAAAAAUGAAUUAAUUCUUUAUUAAAAAACCCAGUAAUGAAGUUCUGUAAAUAAAAAAAAUUACCUUAGGGAUAACAGCGUAAUUCUUUUUGAGAGUACAUAUUGACAAAAGAGUUUGCGACCUCGAUGUUGGAUCAAGUUUUCCUGGAGGUGUAGUGGCUUUCAAGGGUUGGUUUGUUCAACCAUAAAAAUCUU
rnacentral:rRNA from 1 species